GAUGAACGCUGGCGGCGUGCCUAAUACAUGCAAGUCGAGCGAACAGACGAGGAGCUUGCUCCUCUGACGUUAGCGGCGGACGGGUGAGUAACACGUGGAUAACCUACCUAUAAGACUGGGAUAACUUCGGGAAACCGGAGCUAAUACCGGAUAAUAUUUUCAACCGCAUGGUUCAAUAGUGAAAGACGGUUUUGCUGUCACUUAUAGAUGGAUCCGCGCCGCAUUAGCUAGUUGGUAAGGUAACGGCUUACCAAGGCAACGAUGCGUAGCCGACCUGAGAGGGUGAUCGGCCACACUGGAACUGAGACACGGUCCAGACUCCUACGGGAGGCAGCAGUAGGGAAUCGUGAGCAAUGGGCGAAAGCCUGACGGAGCAAUGCCGCGUGAGUGAUGAAGGUCUUCGGAUCGUAAAACUCUGUUAUUAGGGAAGAACAAAUGUGUAAGUAACUAUGCACGUCUUGACGGUACCUAAUCAGAAAGCCACGGCUAACUACGUG
rnacentral:rRNA from 1 species